GCCUAUAGUUGGCGUUUUAAUCCUUACCUCCUGGAGGAUCAGGCUUUUAAAACAUAUAUCACCACGCACAUAUCACAGUUCCUUGAGACCAAUGACAAUGGGGAGGUGAACGACACUACUUUGUGGGAAACUCUAAAAGCAUAUAUUAGGGGGCAAAUUAUUUCGUAUGAAGCAACACUGAAAAAGACUAAGUGUGGCAGAUUGGCAGAGAUUGACAAAGAGCUACAGACUGCUGAACAGGUCUAUCGAAAUUCACUACUCCAAUCGGAUUAUAACACAAUCAUUAAAUUAAAGUACGAGUAUAAUUCCAUUCUGGGAGAACAGAUUGGCAAUUUAUUAUUAAAACUUAAACGGAGACACUUUGAGCUCGGUGACAAACCACAAAAGCUACUGGCGAGACAGUUAAAAGGAGAACAUGCAAAACGAGCUAUUUAUAAAAUAAAAUCUGAAUCUGGAGAGAUGCUUACAGACUUGAAGGACAUCAAUGACCGUUUUAAAGAAUUCUACUCAGAAAUUUACACCUCCAAAUCAACCGCUACACAGGAAGACUUUGACCAGUUUUUUGACUCUCUUAACUUUCCAAAAUUAGACACAGUUUUUAGGGAGAGUCUGGACUCGGAUUUCUCUCUUUCUGAAUUACAGGACGCCAUCAGAGCAUUCCCCACUGGUAAAGCGCCGGGCCCAGAUGGGUUUGGGCCAGAGUUUUACAAAGCUUUUCUUGGGAUCCUAGCACCCCCUCUGUUGAGAAUGAUUCGUGACACGUUUAAAAACAAACAGCUUCCACCCUCUCUCAGUGAAGCAAAUAUUUGCGUUUUAUUAAAAAAAGACAAGGAUGAAACAGACCCGGGCAGCUACAGGCCUAUUGCCCUGCUAAAUUACGAUUUGAAAAUAAUUACAAAAGUUCUAGCGAACCGGCUCGGGAAGAAUGUAGCAAGUAUUAUUCACCCUGACCAAACAGGAUUUAUCCCGGGCAGGUACUCCUUCUGUAAUGUUCGCAAAAUCCUUAAUAUAAUUUAUGCAGAUUAUAGAAAAGAUGAUAGAGCAGCUUUACUGUCCUUAGACGCUCGUAAGGCAUUCGACAUGAUAGAAUGGCCCUAUCUAUUUGCAACACUUAAAAAAAUUGGAUUCGGCGACACUUUCAUAGAGUGGGUCAAGAUAUUAUACAGCAAUCCGAAAUCUUCCAUUCUAACGAAUGGGGACAGAUCUGGUUCGUUCACCCUGCAACGCGGCGUCCGUCAGGGAGACCCAUUGUCCCCCCUGCUCUUCAAUAUAGCGUUGGAGCCGUUGGCUAUUGGUAUUAGAGGACAUCCAUGUAUUAAAGGUAUUAGAUCAGGCGGUACUGAGACCUGCGUGACUCUGUACGCAGACGACCUCCUUGUCUGUCUAGCUGACCCUAUGGUUUCCAUUCCUGUUUUACUAGAAUACAUAAAUGACUUCGGGAGCAUCUCUGGCUAUACUAUAAACUGGGGGUUAGGGUUAGGGUUAGGGGUUAGGGUUAGGGGGUUAGGAUUACGGGAAAAGGGGGACUGUCUCCUAGGAUAGGAGACAGGAGGUGCACGGUCCAUCCCCCUGUUCCCCGUCCCCCACGACCCCGUUUGGUACUGCUGAUUAUUAGUGCGGUACGGGCGUCGACCACGCCUCCCGUACCGCACUUCAGUCCAUUGUUCUUGCUCGUAAGUCAUGAUUGUUUUUUAAUCUUUUUAAUUAUUUAUUACUAUUUAUUAAUGUGGUGUAAUUACUAAACUAUUUAUUUAUUGGUGUAUCUAUCUAUCUAAUUUAUUUAUUUAUUGAAAUGAAGGUAUUUAAAACUAAAACAGUAUAACAAAAUAAAUGAAUUGUUCUUAUUUUUUUCUGAUUUUUUGUUUUUUGUGAAAUAAAAAUGAAAUAAAAAUGAAAUAAAAGUGAAAAAACUAAAUAAAAUGUCUAUCAAAAUGAAGAAUAGAGAAAUAAGAGGUGAAAAAAGUGCCCAGUCGCGACGUUUCGACCGCUGUGGGUCUUCUUCAGGCUAUGGGCACAAAAGGGAAUAUGUCUGGACUUGUCUGAGUCUGUUUGUGAGGUGUUUGCUCUUCAGGAGACAUUUGAGGAAUGAGAGGCUGAGCUGUGUGUGCGUGUCUUAUUUAUAGGGGCGUGGGAGAGGGCAGAGCCAGACGGGGGCCCCCGGCCGUCUGGAUACCGUCUGGGUGCAGUUAACCCCAUAAAUGCCAACUAAAAUUAAAUGACCUGAAUGUUAAUGCCAAAUUAGAACUUUUUACCCUCUUUUUAAGUGAUUAAAUUUAAUGGAUUGUAAUUGUAAUGCCCAAUUUAGAAAUUUCUACCCUGUUUUAGCUGAUUAAUUGUAAUUUUAAGGCCCAAUUUAGAAUGUUUCCCCCUUCUUUUUAACAGAUGAAUUGAAAUGAAUUAUAAUUUAAUGCCCCAUUGAAACUUCAGUCUUUUAAAUCCAUAUUUGCCAAUUAGUAUUUUAAUGAAGUUGAAUUUUAAAGAUAGUUGUAGUAUUUUUAGGCCUUAAUCCUUUUUAAAUGUUAGAUAAGAUAUGCAUUUUUAAUAUUUAUGGUUUAAAUGUCAAAUGAUUACUAUUUUUAACGUAUUAUGAAUUUUAACAAUUAAUAAUGAAUUAAAAAUAAUUAAUACAAAUAAAUUAUUAGUUUUUAAAGGUUAGGGUUAGGGGUCAGGGCUAGGGUAAGAGAGGUUAGGGUUAGGGUUAGGGCUAGGGUUAGGUUUAGGGCUAGAUCUAGGGGUUAGGGUUAGGGUUAGGGCCAGGGUUAGGGUUAGGUUUGAUCCCGAGGGUUAGGGUUAGGGUUAGGGAUAGGGUUAGGGUUAGAUUUUGAUCCCCGAAGGUUAGGGUUAGGGUUAGGGAUAGGGUUAGGGUUAGAUUUUGAUCCCCGAGGGUUAGGGUUAGGGAUAGGGUUAGGGUUAGAUUAGGGUUAGGGUUAGGGUUAGGGUUAGGGGUUAGGGUUAGGGUUAGGGGUUAGGGUUAGGGGUAGGGGUUAGGGUUAGGGUUAGGUUUAUGGAUAAAGGGGGACUGUCUCCUAGAAUAGGAGACAGGAGGUGCACGGUCCAUCCCCCUGUUCCCCGUCCCCCACGACCCCGUUUGAUACUGCUGAUUAUUAGUGCGAUACGGGCGUUGACCACGCCUUCUCCCGUAUCGCACUUCAGUCCAUUGUUCUUGGUCGUAGGUCAUGAUUGUUGUUUUAACCUUUUUAAUUAUUUAUUGUUAUUUAUUAAUGUGGUGUAUUUAUGAGACUAUUUAUUUAUUUAUUGGUCUAUCUAUCGAUGUUUUUAAACAAAAACUGUAUCAAAUGAACUGUUCUUUAUUUUUUUAUGCGUUUUUUUGUUUUUUGUGAAAUAAAAAUGAAAUAAAAUGAAAUAAAAGUGAGAAAACUGAAUAAAAUGUGUAUCAAAAUGAAUAAUAAGUGCCCAGUCGCGACGUUUCGACCGCUGUGGGUCUUCUUCAGGCUAUGGGCACGAAAUAAAAUAUGUCUGGGCUUGUCUGGGCUUGUCUGGGCUUGUUUGAGUCUGCUGGUGAGAUGCUUUCUCUUCAAGAGACAUAUGAGAAGUGGGAGGCUGAACUCUGUGUGCGUGAGUUUUUUAUAGGGGCGUGGGAAAGAGCAGAGCCAGACGGGGGGCCUCCGGCCGUCUGGGUGCAGUUAACCCCAUAAAUGCCAACUGAAAUUAGAUGACAUGAAUGUUAAUGGCCAAUUGGAUUUUUUUACCCUCUUUUAACAGAUUAACUUUAAUGAAUUAUAAUUGUAAUGCCCAAUUAGAAUUUUUUAUGCUCUUUUUAACUUAUUUAACUUAAUGAAUUGUAAUUGUAAUGCCCAAUUUUAACGUUUGCCAAUUAGAAUCGUAAUGAAUUUGAAUUUUUAAAGAGAGAUGUAAUUAUGUUAUCCCCUAAUUCCCUUUUUAAAUUUUAGAUGAGAUAUCUCUUUGUAAUAUUUAUGGUUUUAAUGUCUAAUGGAUUAAAAAGAAUUAAUUAAAAUAAAUUAUUAGUUUUUAAAGGUUAGGGUUAGGGGUCAGAGCUAGGGUUAGAGAGGUCAGGGUUAGGGCCAGGGUUAGGGUUAGAUUUGAUCCCCGAGGGUUAGGGUUAGGGUUAGGGAUAGGGUUAGGGUUAGAUUUGAUCCCCGAGGGUUAGGGUUAGGGUUAGGGAUAGGGUUAGGGUUAGGGUUAGGGUUAGGGUUAGGGGUUAGGGUUAGGGUUAGGGUUAGGGUUAGGAUAUAGGGAUAUGUGCCACUUUUGACAUGCCGGUUCAUUGCCUUUCCCAUCGAUGAACCGGGCUGAGAUUUGGUCUACCCCCCCAUUUUCGGGUAUGCUGAAUCUAAAAAUAGUAAUGAACCAGCGAUCGGACAUUCCUAUCAAAAGUUAUGGCGAAGUGAAAAUUUCCCAUUGAAAAUGAAUGGGAGCGGAAAAAUGGCCAGAGUCAGUGUUUGCAAGUGUUGUACUUGUCUGGAACUGUUGAAAAUGCAUUGUGAGCACGUUUCAGGCCAUUUCCUGUCUUUUGAGGGCGACUUUGCAAAAAGGGGUGUCAUACCGCUUUUGACCAGAGGUGGUGCUGCACAUGUCCGACGGUUAGGGUUAGGGUGAGACUUUGGGCAAGGGGUUAGGGUUAGGGUUGGAGCUAGGGUUAGGGUUAGUUGUGGAGCUAGGGUUAGGGUUAGGGUUGGAGCUAGGGUUAGGGUUAGGGUUGGAGCUAGGGUUAGGGUUAGGAAAAUGUGAAGAUUUUCCCAAAAUGUGAAGAUUUUCCUAAGUGCGGACCCAAUUUUUCACCUUCCAGAAUUGUGUUAGGAGCACGUUUCAGGCCACGGGGAGUCCAUAGAACCUGAUUCUGGGUGAAGUUUUCGGGGGUUGGAGCUUUGGGGCAGGAUAUAGGGAUAUGUGCCACUUUUGACAUGCCGGUUCAUUGCCUUUCCCAUCGAUGAACCGGGCUGAGAUUUGGUCUACCCCCCCAUUUUCGGGUAUGCUGAAUCUAAAAAUAGUAAUGAACCAGCGAUCGGACAUUCCUAUCAAAAGUUAUGGCGAAGUGAAAAUUUCCCAUUGAAAAUGAAUGGGAGCGGAAAAAUGGCCAGAGUCAGUGUUUGCAAGUGUUGUACUUGUCUGGAACUGUUGAAAAUGCAUUGUGAGCACGUUUCAGGCCAUUUCCUGUCUUUUGAGGGCGACUUUGCAAAAAGGGGUGUCAUACCGCUUUUGACCAGAGGUGGUGCUGCACAUGUCCGACGGUUAGGGUUAGGGUGAGACUUUGGGCAAGGGGUUAGGGUUAGGGUUGGAGCUAGGGUUAGGGUUAGGUUGUGGAGCUAGGGUUAGGGUUAGGGUUGGAGCUAGGGUUAGGGUUAGGGUUAGGGUUAGGGUUAGGGUUUGGGGUUAGGGUUCGGGUUAGGGUUAGGGUUAGGGUUAGGGUUAGGGGGGGUUAGGGUUAGGGUUAGGGUUAGGGUUAGGGGUUAGGGUUAGGGGUUAGGGUUAGGGUUAGGGUUAGGGUUAGGGUUAGGGGUUAGGGUUAGGGUUAGGGUUAGGGUUAGGGUUAGGGGUUAGGGUUAGGGUUAGGGUUAGGGUUAGGGUUAGGGUUUAGGGUUAGGGUUAGGGUUAGGGUUAGGGGGUUAGGGUUAGGGUUAGGGUUAGGUUUUUGGGUAAGUAUCCCGUCUCCCCUAAGUUGCCCUACUUGGGCGGCGGGGAGCGGGGAAUGCACGGUCCUUCGCCCACCGGACACGCUCCCCCGGUCCCACAGGAAACACGACUUGUGCUUAAUAAAUGUUGUUGUUGACUUGGUUUUAAUGUGUUGCGUUAUUGUUUUUAAAUAGUUUCCAUUUUUUUAGGAUUUUUUGUUUUUGUUUUUAAAUAAUUUCCAGUUUUUUAGGAUUUUUUUGUUUUUUAUAUACACAACACACAAACAAACAAACAAACAAACAAACAAUACAUGAUCACACAGGAACUAUGUACAUACAUUGUGCGCGUCGACGACGUUUCGACCCUACUUGGGUCUUCAUCAGGUCAUGCGCACAAAAAGAAUGGCUGCUGGGCCCCAAUUCAUAGGGGUGUGUACCCAGCAGGCAGCCAAAUAAAAAUGAAGUUAUCCCUGUUCCCCUCUCCCUUUUAUACCCUUGGAGAAAUAAUUUACUGAAUUUUCUUAAAUAAUUUGUGUUAUUUUGUACUCUAUUUAGUUUCUGAAUGUUAACCCUUUAGACGCUGAUUGUUUUUUAAUGCAUGAUAUAUUUAUCUUAUGUUAACCCUUUAGACGCUGAUUGUUUUUUAAUACAUGAUAUAUUUAUCUUAAUGCUGAGGUUAGGCUUCAAGUGACCCCCUAGGGUUAGGGUUAGGGUCAGUAUUAGGGUCAGGGCUAGUAUCCGAGGUUAGGGUUAGAUCCUGAGGUUAGGCUUCAAGUGACCCCUAGGGUUAGGGUUAGGGUCAGUAUUAGGGUCAGGGCUAGUAUCCGAGGUUAGGGUUAGAUCCUGAGGUUAGGCUUCAAGUGACCCCUAGGGUUAGGGUUAGGGUCAGUAUUACGGUUAGGGUUAGUAUCCAAGGUAGGGUUAGGGUUAGGGUUAGGGCCACGAUUGGGGUUAUGGCAAGCGCUAAGGUUAGGGUUAGGGUUAGCGCGAUGGUUAGGGCUAGGGUUAAGUGCCAGGUUAGGGCUUACGGCAUCAGCCGCCCGGACUGCGGGUCGGCUGGAUCUCUAAUAUGUGCAGAUUUUGCAGGUUGGGGACCGAGGAAACGCACCAACGAUGGACGAGGCACUGGCGGGUAAGGUUUUUGGGUAAGUAUCCCGUCUCCCCUAAGUUGCCCUACUUGGGCGGCGGGGAGCGGGGAAUGCACGGUCCUUCGCCCACCGGACACGCUCCCCCGGUCCCACAGGAAACACGACUUGUGCUUAAUAAAUGUUGUUGUUGACUUGGUUUUAAUGUGUUGCGUUAUUGUUUUUAAAUAGUUUCCAUUUUUUUAGGAUUUUUUGUUUUUGUUUUUAAAUAAUUUCCAGUUUUUUAGGAUUUUUUUGUUUUUUAUAUACACAACACACAAACAAACAAACAAACAAACAAACAAUACAUGAUCACACAGGAACUAUGUACAUACAUUGUGCGCGUCGACGACGUUUCGACCCUACUUGGGUCUUCAUCAGGUCAUGCGCACAAAAAAGAAUGGCUGCUGGGCCCCAAUUCAUAGGGGUGUGUACCCAGCAGGCAGCCAAAUAAAAAUGAAGUUAUCCCUGUUCCCCUCUCCCUUUUAUACCCUUGGAGAAAUAAUUUACUGAAUUUUCUUAAAUAAUUUGUGUUAUUUUGUACUCUAUUUAGUUUCUGAAUGUUAACCCUUUAGACGCUGAUUGUUUUUUAAUGCAUGAUAUAUUUAUCUUAUGUUAACCCUUUAGACGCUGAUUGUUUUUUAAUACAUGAUAUAUUUAUCUUAAUGCUGAGGUUAGGCUUCAAGUGACCCCCUAGGGUUAGGGUUAGGGUCAGUAUUAGGGUCAGGGCUAGUAUCCGAGGUUAGGGUUAGAUCCUGAGGUUAGGCUUCAAGUGACCCCUAGGGUUAGGGUUAGGGUCAGUAUUAGGGUCAGGGCUAGUAUCCGAGGUUAGGGUUAGAUCCUGAGGUUAGGCUUCAAGUGACCCCUAGGGUUAGGGUUAGGGUCAGUAUUACGGUUAGGGUUAGUAUCCAAGGUAGGGUUAGGGUUAGGGUUAGGGCCACGAUUGGGGUUAUGGCAAGCGCUAAGGUUAGGGUUAGGGUUAGCGCGAUGGUUAGGGCUAGGGUUAAGUGCCAGGUUAGGGCUUACGGCAUCAGCCGCCCGGACUGCGGGUCGGCUGGAUCUCUAAUAUGUGCAGAUUUUGCAGGUUGGGGACCGAGGAAACGCACCAACGAUGGACGAGGCACUGGCGGGUAAGGUUUUUGGGUAAGUAUCCCGUCUCCCCUAAGUUGCCCUACUUGGGCGGCGGGGAGCGGGGAAUGCACGGUCCUUCGCCCACCGGACACGCUCCCCCGGUCCCACAGGAAACACGACUUGUGCUUAAUAAAUGUUGUUGUUGACUUGGUUUUAAUGUGUUGCGUUAUUGUUUUUAAAUAGUUUCCAUUUUUUUAGGAUUUUUUGUUUUUGUUUUUAAAUAAUUUCCAGUUUUUUAGGAUUUUUUUGUUUUUUAUAUACACAACACACAAACAAACAAACAAACAAACAAACAAUACAUGAUCACACAGGAACUAUGUACAUACAUUGUGCGCGUCGACGACGUUUCGACCCUACUUGGGUCUUCAUCAGGUCAUGCGCACAAAAAAGAAUGGCUGCUGGGCCCCAAUUCAUAGGGGUGUGUACCCAGCAGGCAGCCAAAUAAAAAUGAAGUUAUCCCUGUUCCCCUCUCCCUUUUAUACCCUUGGAGAAAUAAUUUACUGAAUUUUCUUAAAUAAUUUGUGUUAUUUUGUACUCUAUUUAGUUUCUGAAUGUUAACCCUUUAGACGCUGAUUGUUUUUUAAUGCAUGAUAUAUUUAUCUUAUGUUAACCCUUUAGACGCUGAUUGUUUUUUAAUACAUGAUAUAUUUAUCUUAAUGCUGAGGUUAGGCUUCAAGUGACCCCCUAGGGUUAGGGUUAGGGUCAGUAUUAGGGUCAGGGCUAGUAUCCGAGGUUAGGGUUAGAUCCUGAGGUUAGGCUUCAAGUGACCCCUAGGGUUAGGGUUAGGGUCAGUAUUAGGGUCAGGGCUAGUAUCCGAGGUUAGGGUUAGAUCCUGAGGUUAGGCUUCAAGUGACCCCUAGGGUUAGGGUUAGGGUCAGUAUUACGGUUAGGGUUAGUAUCCAAGGUAGGGUUAGGGUUAGGGUUAGGGCCACGAUUGGGGUUAUGGCAAGCGCUAAGGUUAGGGUUAGGGUUAGCGCGAUGGUUAGGGCUAGGGUUAAGUGCCAGGUUAGGGCUUACGGCAUCAGCCGCCCGGACUGCGGGUCGGCUGGAUCUCUAAUAUGUGCAGAUUUUGCAGGUUGGGGACCGAGGAAACGCACCAACGAUGGACGAGGCACUGGCGGGUAAGGUUUUUGGGUAAGUAUCCCGUCUCCCCUAAGUUGCCCUACUUGGGCGGCGGGGAGCGGGGAAUGCACGGUCCUUCGCCCACCGGACACGCUCCCCCGGUCCCACAGGAAACACGACUUGUGCUUAAUAAAUGUUGUUGUUGACUUGGUUUUAAUGUGUUGCGUUAUUGUUUUUAAAUAGUUUCCAUUUUUUUAGGAUUUUUUGUUUUUGUUUUUAAAUAAUUUCCAGUUUUUUAGGAUUUUUUUGUUUUUUAUAUACACAACACACAAACAAACAAACAAACAAACAAACAAUACAUGAUCACACAGGAACUAUGUACAUACAUUGUGCGCGUCGACGACGUUUCGACCCUACUUGGGUCUUCAUCAGGUCAUGCGCACAAAAAAGAAUGGCUGCUGGGCCCCAAUUCAUAGGGGUGUGUACCCAGCAGGCAGCCAAAUAAAAAUGAAGUUAUCCCUGUUCCCCUCUCCCUUUUAUACCCUUGGAGAAAUAAUUUACUGAAUUUUCUUAAAUAAUUUGUGUUAUUUUGUACUCUAUUUAGUUUCUGAAUGUUAACCCUUUAGACGCUGAUUGUUUUUUAAUGCAUGAUAUAUUUAUCUUAUGUUAACCCUUUAGACGCUGAUUGUUUUUUAAUACAUGAUAUAUUUAUCUUAAUGCUGAGGUUAGGCUUCAAGUGACCCCCUAGGGUUAGGGUUAGGGUCAGUAUUAGGGUCAGGGCUAGUAUCCGAGGUUAGGGUUAGAUCCUGAGGUUAGGCUUCAAGUGACCCCUAGGGUUAGGGUUAGGGUCAGUAUUAGGGUCAGGGCUAGUAUCCGAGGUUAGGGUUAGAUCCUGAGGUUAGGCUUCAAGUGACCCCUAGGGUUAGGGUUAGGGUCAGUAUUACGGUUAGGGUUAGUAUCCAAGGUAGGGUUAGGGUUAGGGUUAGGGCCACGAUUGGGGUUAUGGCAAGCGCUAAGGUUAGGGUUAGGGUUAGCGCGAUGGUUAGGGCUAGGGUUAAGUGCCAGGUUAGGGCUUACGGCAUCAGCCGCCCGGACUGCGGGUCGGCUGGAUCUCUAAUAUGUGCAGAUUUUGCAGGUUGGGGACCGAGGAAACGCACCAACGAUGGACGAGGCACUGGCGGGUAAGGUUUUUGGGUAAGUAUCCCGUCUCCCCUAAGUUGCCCUACUUGGGCGGCGGGGAGCGGGGAAUGCACGGUCCUUCGCCCACCGGACACGCUCCCCCGGUCCCACAGGAAACACGACUUGUGCUUAAUAAAUGUUGUUGUUGACUUGGUUUUAAUGUGUUGCGUUAUUGUUUUUAAAUAGUUUCCAUUUUUUUAGGAUUUUUUGUUUUUGUUUUUAAAUAAUUUCCAUUUUUUUAGGAUUUUUUUGUUUUUUAUAUACACAACACACAAACAAACAAACAAACAAACAAACAAUACAUGAUCACACAGGAACUAUGUACAUACAUUGUGCGCGUCGACGACGUUUCGACCCUACUUGGGUCUUCAUCAGGUCAUGCGCACAAAAAAGAAUGGCUGCUGGGCCCCAAUUCAUAGGGGUGUGUACCCAGCAGGCAGCCAAAUAAAAAUGAAGUUAUCCCUGUUCCCCUCUCCCUUUUAUACCCUUGGAGAAAUAAUUUACUGAAUUUUCUUAAAUAAUUUGUGUUAUUUUGUACUCUAUUUAGUUUCUGAAUGUUAACCCUUUAGACGCUGAUUGUUUUUUAAUGCAUGAUAUAUUUAUCUUAUGUUAACCCUUUAGACGCUGAUUGUUUUUUAAUACAUGAUAUAUUUAUCUUAAUGCUGAGGUUAGGCUUCAAGUGACCCCCUAGGGUUAGGGUUAGGGUCAGUAUUAGGGUCAGGGCUAGUAUCCGAGGUUAGGGUUAGAUCCUGAGGUUAGGCUUCAAGUGACCCCUAGGGUUAGGGUUAGGGUCAGUAUUAGGGUCAGGGCUAGUAUCCGAGGUUAGGGUUAGAUCCUGAGGUUAGGCUUCAAGUGACCCCUAGGGUUAGGGUUAGGGUCAGUAUUACGGUUAGGGUUAGUAUCCAAGGUAGGGUUAGGGUUAGGGUUAGGGCCACGAUUGGGGUUAUGGCAAGCGCUAAGGUUAGGGUUAGGGUUAGCGCGAUGGUUAGGGCUAGGGUUAAGUGCCAGGUUAGGGCUUACGGCAUCAGCCGCCCGGACUGCGGGUCGGCUGGAUCUCUAAUAUGUGCAGAUUUUGCAGGUUGGGGACCGAGGAAACGCACCAACGAUGGACGAGGCACUGGCGGGUAAGGUUUUUGGGUAAGUAUCCCGUCUCCCCUAAGUUGCCCUACUUGGGCGGCGGGGAGCGGGGAAUGCACGGUCCUUCGCCCACCGGACACGCUCCCCCGGUCCCACAGGAAACACGACUUGUGCUUAAUAAAUGUUGUUGUUGACUUGGUUUUAAUGUGUUGCGUUAUUGUUUUUAAAUAGUUUCCAUUUUUUUAGGAUUUUUUGUUUUUGUUUUUAAAUAAUUUCCAGUUUUUUAGGAUUUUUUUGUUUUUUAUAUACACAACACACAAACAAACAAACAAACAAACAAACAAUACAUGAUCACACAGGAACUAUGUACAUACAUUGUGCGCGUCGACGACGUUUCGACCCUACUUGGGUCUUCAUCAGGUCAUGCGCACAAAAAAGAAUGGCUGCUGGGCCCCAAUUCAUAGGGGUGUGUACCCAGCAGGCAGCCAAAUAAAAAUGAAGUUAUCCCUGUUCCCCUCUCCCUUUUAUACCCUUGGAGAAAUAAUUUACUGAAUUUUCUUAAAUAAUUUGUGUUAUUUUGUACUCUAUUUAGUUUCUGAAUGUUAACCCUUUAGACGCUGAUUGUUUUUUAAUGCAUGAUAUAUUUAUCUUAUGUUAACCCUUUAGACGCUGAUUGUUUUUUAAUACAUGAUAUAUUUAUCUUAAUGCUGAGGUUAGGCUUCAAGUGACCCCCUAGGGUUAGGGUUAGGGUCAGUAUUAGGGUCAGGGCUAGUAUCCGAGGUUAGGGUUAGAUCCUGAGGUUAGGCUUCAAGUGACCCCUAGGGUUAGGGUUAGGGUCAGUAUUAGGGUCAGGGCUAGUAUCCGAGGUUAGGGUUAGAUCCUGAGGUUAGGCUUCAAGUGACCCCUAGGGUUAGGGUUAGGGUCAGUAUUACGGUUAGGGUUAGUAUCCAAGGUAGGGUUAGGGUUAGGGUUAGGGCCACGAUUGGGGUUAUGGCAAGCGCUAAGGUUAGGGUUAGGGUUAGCGCGAUGGUUAGGGCUAGGGUUAAGUGCCAGGUUAGGGCUUACGGCAUCAGCCGCCCGGACUGCGGGUCGGCUGGAUCUCUAAUAUGUGCAGAUUUUGCAGGUUGGGGACCGAGGAAACGCACCAACGAUGGACGAGGCACUGGCGGGUAAGGUUUUUGGGUAAGUAUCCCGUCUCCCCUAAGUUGCCCUACUUGGGCGGCGGGGAGCGGGGAAUGCACGGUCCUUCGCCCACCGGACACGCUCCCCCGGUCCCACAGGAAACACGACUUGUGCUUAAUAAAUGUUGUUGUUGACUUGGUUUUAAUGUGUUGCGUUAUUGUUUUUAAAUAGUUUCCAUUUUUUUAGGAUUUUUUGUUUUUGUUUUUAAAUAAUUUCCAGUUUUUUAGGAUUUUUUUGUUUUUUAUAUACACAACACACAAACAAACAAACAAACAAACAAACAAUACAUGAUCACACAGGAACUAUGUACAUACAUUGUGCGCGUCGACGACGUUUCGACCCUACUUGGGUCUUCAUCAGGUCAUGCGCACAAAAAAGAAUGGCUGCUGGGCCCCAAUUCAUAGGGGUGUGUACCCAGCAGGCAGCCAAAUAAAAAUGAAGUUAUCCCUGUUCCCCUCUCCCUUUUAUACCCUUGGAGAAAUAAUUUACUGAAUUUUCUUAAAUAAUUUGUGUUAUUUUGUACUCUAUUUAGUUUCUGAAUGUUAACCCUUUAGACGCUGAUUGUUUUUUAAUGCAUGAUAUAUUUAUCUUAUGUUAACCCUUUAGACGCUGAUUGUUUUUUAAUACAUGAUAUAUUUAUCUUAAUGCUGAGGUUAGGCUUCAAGUGACCCCCUAGGGUUAGGGUUAGGGUCAGUAUUAGGGUCAGGGCUAGUAUCCGAGGUUAGGGUUAGAUCCUGAGGUUAGGCUUCAAGUGACCCCUAGGGUUAGGGUUAGGGUCAGUAUUAGGGUCAGGGCUAGUAUCCGAGGUUAGGGUUAGAUCCUGAGGUUAGGCUUCAAGUGACCCCUAGGGUUAGGGUUAGGGUCAGUAUUACGGUUAGGGUUAGUAUCCAAGGUAGGGUUAGGGUUAGGGUUAGGGCCACGAUUGGGGUUAUGGCAAGCGCUAAGGUUAGGGUUAGGGUUAGCGCGAUGGUUAGGGCUAGGGUUAAGUGCCAGGUUAGGGCUUACGGCAUCAGCCGCCCGGACUGCGGGUCGGCUGGAUCUCUAAUAUGUGCAGAUUUUGCAGGUUGGGGACCGAGGAAACGCACCAACGAUGGACGAGGCACUGGCGGGUAAGGUUUUUGGGUAAGUAUCCCGUCUCCCCUAAGUUGCCCUACUUGGGCGGCGGGGAGCGGGGAAUGCACGGUCCUUCGCCCACCGGACACGCUCCCCCGGUCCCACAGGAAACACGACUUGUGCUUAAUAAAUGUUGUUGUUGACUUGGUUUUAAUGUGUUGCGUUAUUGUUUUUAAAUAGUUUCCAUUUUUUUAGGAUUUUUUGUUUUUGUUUUUAAAUAAUUUCCAGUUUUUUAGGAUUUUUUUGUUUUUUAUAUACACAACACACAAACAAACAAACAAACAAACAAACAAUACAUGAUCACACAGGAACUAUGUACAUACAUUGUGCGCGUCGACGACGUUUCGACCCUACUUGGGUCUUCAUCAGGUCAUGCGCACAAAAAAGAAUGGCUGCUGGGCCCCAAUUCAUAGGGGUGUGUACCCAGCAGGCAGCCAAAUAAAAAUGAAGUUAUCCCUGUUCCCCUCUCCCUUUUAUACCCUUGGAGAAAUAAUUUACUGAAUUUUCUUAAAUAAUUUGUGUUAUUUUGUACUCUAUUUAGUUUCUGAAUGUUAACCCUUUAGACGCUGAUUGUUUUUUAAUGCAUGAUAUAUUUAUCUUAUGUUAACCCUUUAGACGCUGAUUGUUUUUUAAUACAUGAUAUAUUUAUCUUAAUGCUGAGGUUAGGCUUCAAGUGACCCCCUAGGGUUAGGGUUAGGGUCAGUAUUAGGGUCAGGGCUAGUAUCCGAGGUUAGGGUUAGAUCCUGAGGUUAGGCUUCAAGUGUCCCCUAGGGUUAGGGUUAGGGUCAGUGCCCUAGGGUAUUAGGGUCAGGGCUAGUAUCCGAGGUUAGGGUUAGAUCCUGAGGUUAGGCUUCAAGUGACCCCUAGGGUUAGGGUUAGGGUCAGUAUUACGGUUAGGGUUAGUAUCCAAGGUAGGGUUAGGGUUAGGGUUAGGGCCACGAUUGGGGUUAUGGCAAGCGCUAAGGUUAGGGUUAGGGUUAGCGCGAUGGUUAGGGCUAGGGUUAAGUGCCAGGUUAGGGCUUACGGCAUCAGCCGCCCGGACUGCGGGUCGGCUGGAUCUCUAAUAUGUGCAGAUUUUGCAGGUUGGGGACCGAGGAAACGCACCAACGAUGGACGAGGCACUGGCGGGUAAGGUUUUUGGGUAAGUAUCCCGUCUCCCCUAAGUUGCCCUACUUGGGCGGCGGGGAGCGGGGAAUGCACGGUCCUUCGCCCACCGGACACGCUCCCCCGGUCCCACAGGAAACACGACUUGUGCUUAAUAAAUGUUGUUGUUGACUUGGUUUUAAUGUGUUGCGUUAUUGUUUUUAAAUAGUUUCCAUUUUUUUAGGAUUUUUUGUUUUUGUUUUUAAAUAAUUUCCAUUUUUUUAGGAUUUUUUUGUUUUUUAUAUACACAACACACAAACAAACAAACAAACAAACAAACAAUACAUGAUCACACAGGAACUAUGUACAUACAUUGUGCGCGUCGACGACGUUUCGACCCUACUUGGGUCUUCAUCAGGUCAUGCGCACAAAAAGAAUGGCUGCUGGGCCCCAAUUCAUAGGGGUGUGUACCCAGCAGGCAGCCAAAUAAAAAUGAAGUUAUCCCUGUUCCCCUCUCCCUUUUAUACCCUUGGAGAAAUAAUUUACUGAAUUUUCUUAAAUAAUUUGUGUUAUUUUGUACUCUAUUUAGUUUCUGAAUGUUAACCCUUUAGACGCUGAUUGUUUUUUAAUGCAUGAUAUAUUUAUCUUAUGUUAACCCUUUAGACGCUGAUUGUUUUUUAAUACAUGAUAUAUUUAUCUUAAUGCUGAGGUUAGGCUUCAAGUGACCCCCUAGGGUUAGGGUUAGGGUCAGUAUUAGGGUCAGGGCUAGUAUCCGAGGUUAGGGUUAGAUCCUGAGGUUAGGCUUCAAGUGACCCCUAGGGUUAGGGUUAGGGUCAGUAUUAGGGUCAGGGCUAGUAUCCGAGGUUAGGGUUAGAUCCUGAGGUUAGGCUUCAAGUGACCCCUAGGGUUAGGGUUAGGGUCAGUAUUACGGUUAGGGUUAGUAUCCAAGGUAGGGUUAGGGUUAGGGUUAGGGCCACGAUUGGGGUUAUGGCAAGCGCUAAGGUUAGGGUUAGGGUUAGCGCGAUGGUUAGGGCUAGGGUUAAGUGCCAGGUUAGGGCUUACGGCAUCAGCCGCCCGGACUGCGGGUCGGCUGGAUCUCUAAUAUGUGCAGAUUUUGCAGGUUGGGGACCGAGGAAACGCACCAACGAUGGACGAGGCACUGGCGGGUAAGGUUUUUGGGUAAGUAUCCCGUCUCCCCUAAGUUGCCCUACUUGGGCGGCGGGGAGCGGGGAAUGCACGGUCCUUCGCCCACCGGACACGCUCCCCCGGUCCCACAGGAAACACGACUUGUGCUUAAUAAAUGUUGUUGUUGACUUGGUUUUAAUGUGUUGCGUUAUUGUUUUUAAAUAGUUUCCAUUUUUUUAGGAUUUUUUGUUUUUGUUUUUAAAUAAUUUCCAUUUUUUUAGGAUUUUUUUGUUUUUUAUAUACACAACACACAAACAAACAAACAAACAAACAAACAAUACAUGAUCACACAGGAACUAUGUACAUACAUUGUGCGCGUCGACGACGUUUCGACCCUACUUGGGUCUUCAUCAGGUCAUGCGCACAAAAAAGAAUGGCUGCUGGGCCCCAAUUCAUAGGGGUGUGUACCCAGCAGGCAGCCAAAUAAAAAUGAAGUUAUCCCUGUUCCCCUCUCCCUUUUAUACCCUUGGAGAAAUAAUUUACUGAAUUUUCUUAAAUAAUUUGUGUUAUUUUGUACUCUAUUUAGUUUCUGAAUGUUAACCCUUUAGACGCUGAUUGUUUUUUAAUGCAUGAUAUAUUUAUCUUAUGUUAACCCUUUAGACGCUGAUUGUUUUUUAAUACAUGAUAUAUUUAUCUUAAUGCUGAGGUUAGGCUUCAAGUGACCCCCUAGGGUUAGGGUUAGGGUCAGUAUUAGGGUCAGGGCUAGUAUCCGAGGUUAGGGUUAGAUCCUGAGGUUAGGCUUCAAGUGACCCCUAGGGUUAGGGUUAGGGUCAGUAUUAGGGUCAGGGCUAGUAUCCGAGGUUAGGGUUAGAUCCUGAGGUUAGGCUUCAAGUGACCCCUAGGGUUAGGGUUAGGGUCAGUAUUACGGUUAGGGUUAGUAUCCAAGGUAGGGUUAGGGUUAGGGUUAGGGCCACGAUUGGGGUUAUGGCAAGCGCUAAGGUUAGGGUUAGGGUUAGCGCGAUGGUUAGGGCUAGGGUUAAGUGCCAGGUUAGGGCUUACGGCAUCAGCCGCCCGGACUGCGGGUCGGCUGGAUCUCUAAUAUGUGCAGAUUUUGCAGGUUGGGGACCGAGGAAACGCACCAACGAUGGACGAGGCACUGGCGGGUAAGGUUUUUGGGUAAGUAUCCCGUCUCCCCUAAGUUGCCCUACUUGGGCGGCGGGGAGCGGGGAAUGCACGGUCCUUCGCCCACCGGACACGCUCCCCCGGUCCCACAGGAAACACGACUUGUGCUUAAUAAAUGUUGUUGUUGACUUGGUUUUAAUGUGUUGCGUUAUUGUUUUUAAAUAGUUUCCAUUUUUUUAGGAUUUUUUGUUUUUGUUUUUAAAUAAUUUCCAGUUUUUUAGGAUUUUUUUGUUUUUUAUAUACACAACACACAAACAAACAAACAAACAAACAAACAAUACAUGAUCACACAGGAACUAUGUACAUACAUUGUGCGCGUCGACGACGUUUCGACCCUACUUGGGUCUUCAUCAGGUCAUGCGCACAAAAAAGAAUGGCUGCUGGGCCCCAAUUCAUAGGGGUGUGUACCCAGCAGGCAGCCAAAUAAAAAUGAAAUUAUCCCUGUUCCCCUCUCCCUUUUAUACCCUUGGAGAAAUAAUUUACUGAAUUUUCUUAAAUAAUUUGUGUUAUUUUGUACUCUAUUUAGUUUCUGAAUGUUAACCCUUUAGACGCUGAUUGUUUUUUAAUGCAUGAUAUAUUUAUCUUAUGUUAACCCUUUAGACGCUGAUUGUUUUUUAAUACAUGAUAUAUUUAUCUUAAUGCUGAGGUUAGGCUUCAAGUGACCCCCUAGGGUUAGGGUUAGGGUCAGUAUUAGGGUCAGGGCUAGUAUCCGAGGUUAGGGUUAGAUCCUGAGGUUAGGCUUCAAGUGACCCCUAGGGUUAGGGUUAGGGUCAGUAUUAGGGUCAGGGCUAGUAUCCGAGGUUAGGGUUAGAUCCUGAGGUUAGGCUUCAAGUGACCCCUAGGGUUAGGGUUAGGGUCAGUAUUACGGUUAGGGUUAGUAUCCAAGGUAGGGUUAGGGUUAGGGUUAGGGCCACGAUUGGGGUUAUGGCAAGCGCUAAGGUUAGGGUUAGGGUUAGCGCGAUGGUUAGGGCUAGGGUUAAGUGCCAGGUUAGGGCUUACGGCAUCAGCCGCCCGGACUGCGGGUCGGCUGGAUCUCUAAUAUGUGCAGAUUUUGCAGGUUGGGGACCGAGGAAACGCACCAACGAUGGACGAGGCACUGGCGGGUAAGGUUUUUGGGUAAGUAUCCCGUCUCCCCUAAGUUGCCCUACUUGGGCGGCGGGGAGCGGGGAAUGCACGGUCCUUCGCCCACCGGACACGCUCCCCCGGUCCCACAGGAAACACGACUUGUGCUUAAUAAAUGUUGUUGUUGACUUGGUUUUAAUGUGUUGCGUUAUUGUUUUUAAAUAGUUUCCAUUUUUUUAGGAUUUUUUGUUUUUGUUUUUAAAUAAUUUCCAGUUUUUUAGGAUUUUUUUGUUUUUUAUAUACACAACACACAAACAAACAAACAAACAAACAAACAAUACAUGAUCACACAGGAACUAUGUACAUACAUUGUGCGCGUCGACGACGUUUCGACCCUACUUGGGUCUUCAUCAGGUCAUGCGCACAAAAAAGAAUGGCUGCUGGGCCCCAAUUCAUAGGGGUGUGUACCCAGCAGGCAGCCAAAUAAAAAUGAAGUUAUCCCUGUUCCCCUCUCCCUUUUAUACCCUUGGAGAAAUAAUUUACUGAAUUUUCUUAAAUAAUUUGUGUUAUUUUGUACUCUAUUUAGUUUCUGAAUGUUAACCCUUUAGACGCUGAUUGUUUUUUAAUGCAUGAUAUAUUUAUCUUAUGUUAACCCUUUAGACGCUGAUUGUUUUUUAAUACAUGAUAUAUUUAUCUUAAUGCUGAGGUUAGGCUUCAAGUGACCCCCUAGGGUUAGGGUUAGGGUCAGUAUUAGGGUCAGGGCUAGUAUCCGAGGUUAGGGUUAGAUCCUGAGGUUAGGCUUCAAGUGACCCCUAGGGUUAGGGUUAGGGUCAGUAUUAGGGUCAGGGCUAGUAUCCGAGGUUAGGGUUAGAUCCUGAGGUUAGGCUUCAAGUGACCCCUAGGGUUAGGGUUAGGGUCAGUAUUACGGUUAGGGUUAGUAUCCAAGGUAGGGUUAGGGUUAGGGUUAGGGCCACGAUUGGGGUUAUGGCAAGCGCUAAGGUUAGGGUUAGGGUUAGCGCGAUGGUUAGGGCUAGGGUUAAGUGCCAGGUUAGGGCUUACGGCAUCAGCCGCCCGGACUGCGGGUCGGCUGGAUCUCUAAUAUGUGCAGAUUUUGCAGGUUGGGGACCGAGGAAACGCACCAACGAUGGACGAGGCACUGGCGGGUAAGGUUUUUGGGUAAGUAUCCCGUCUCCCCUAAGUUGCCCUACUUGGGCGGCGGGGAGCGGGGAAUGCACGGUCCUUCGCCCACCGGACACGCUCCCCCGGUCCCACAGGAAACACGACUUGUGCUUAAUAAAUGUUGUUGUUGACUUGGUUUUAAUGUGUUGCGUUAUUGUUUUUAAAUAGUUUCCAUUUUUUUAGGAUUUUUUGUUUUUGUUUUUAAAUAAUUUCCAGUUUUUUAGGAUUUUUUUGUUUUUUAUAUACACAACACACAAACAAACAAACAAACAAACAAACAAUACAUGAUCACACAGGAACUAUGUACAUACAUUGUGCGCGUCGACGACGUUUCGACCCUACUUGGGUCUUCAUCAGGUCAUGCGCACAAAAAAGAAUGGCUGCUGGGCCCCAAUUCAUAGGGGUGUGUACCCAGCAGGCAGCCAAAUAAAAAUGAAGUUAUCCCUGUUCCCCUCUCCCUUUUAUACCCUUGGAGAAAUAAUUUACUGAAUUUUCUUAAAUAAUUUGUGUUAUUUUGUACUCUAUUUAGUUUCUGAAUGUUAACCCUUUAGACGCUGAUUGUUUUUUAAUGCAUGAUAUAUUUAUCUUAUGUUAACCCUUUAGACGCUGAUUGUUUUUUAAUACAUGAUAUAUUUAUCUUAAUGCUGAGGUUAGGCUUCAAGUGACCCCCUAGGGUUAGGGUUAGGGUCAGUAUUAGGGUCAGGGCUAGUAUCCGAGGUUAGGGUUAGAUCCUGAGGUUAGGCUUCAAGUGACCCCUAGGGUUAGGGUUAGGGUCAGUAUUAGGGUCAGGGCUAGUAUCCGAGGUUAGGGUUAGAUCCUGAGGUUAGGCUUCAAGUGACCCCUAGGGUUAGGGUUAGGGUCAGUAUUACGGUUAGGGUUAGUAUCCAAGGUAGGGUUAGGGUUAGGGUUAGGGCCACGAUUGGGGUUAUGGCAAGCGCUAAGGUUAGGGUUAGGGUUAGCGCGAUGGUUAGGGCUAGGGUUAAGUGCCAGGUUAGGGCUUACGGCAUCAGCCGCCCGGACUGCGGGUCGGCUGGAUCUCUAAUAUGUGCAGAUUUUGCAGGUUGGGGACCGAGGAAACGCACCAACGAUGGACGAGGCACUGGCGGGUAAGGUUUUUGGGUAAGUAUCCCGUCUCCCCUAAGUUGCCCUACUUGGGCGGCGGGGAGCGGGGAAUGCACGGUCCUUCGCCCACCGGACACGCUCCCCCGGUCCCACAGGAAACACGACUUGUGCUUAAUAAAUGUUGUUGUUGACUUGGUUUUAAUGUGUUGCGUUAUUGUUUUUAAAUAGUUUCCAUUUUUUUAGGAUUUUUUGUUUUUGUUUUUAAAUAAUUUCCAGUUUUUUAGGAUUUUUUUGUUUUUUAUAUACACAACACACAAACAAACAAACAAACAAACAAACAAUACAUGAUCACACAGGAACUAUGUACAUACAUUGUGCGCGUCGACGACGUUUCGACCCUACUUGGGUCUUCAUCAGGUCAUGCGCACAAAAAAGAAUGGCUGCUGGGCCCCAAUUCAUAGGGGUGUGUACCCAGCAGGCAGCCAAAUAAAAAUGAAGUUAUCCCUGUUCCCCUCUCCCUUUUAUACCCUUGGAGAAAUAAUUUACUGAAUUUUCUUAAAUAAUUUGUGUUAUUUUGUACUCUAUUUAGUUUCUGAAUGUUAACCCUUUAGACGCUGAUUGUUUUUUAAUGCAUGAUAUAUUUAUCUUAUGUUAACCCUUUAGACGCUGAUUGUUUUUUAAUACAUGAUAUAUUUAUCUUAAUGCUGAGGUUAGGCUUCAAGUGACCCCCUAGGGUUAGGGUUAGGGUCAGUAUUAGGGUCAGGGCUAGUAUCCGAGGUUAGGGUUAGAUCCUGAGGUUAGGCUUCAAGUGACCCCUAGGGUUAGGGUUAGGGUCAGUAUUAGGGUCAGGGCUAGUAUCCGAGGUUAGGGUUAGAUCCUGAGGUUAGGCUUCAAGUGACCCCUAGGGUUAGGGUUAGGGUCAGUAUUACGGUUAGGGUUAGUAUCCAAGGUAGGGUUAGGGUUAGGGUUAGGGCCACGAUUGGGGUUAUGGCAAGCGCUAAGGUUAGGGUUAGGGUUAGCGCGAUGGUUAGGGCUAGGGUUAAGUGCCAGGUUAGGGCUUACGGCAUCAGCCGCCCGGACUGCGGGUCGGCUGGAUCUCUAAUAUGUGCAGAUUUUGCAGGUUGGGGACCGAGGAAACGCACCAACGAUGGACGAGGCACUGGCGGGUAAGGUUUUUGGGUAAGUAUCCCGUCUCCCCUAAGUUGCCCUACUUGGGCGGCGGGGAGCGGGGAAUGCACGGUCCUUCGCCCACCGGACACGCUCCCCCGGUCCCACAGGAAACACGACUUGUGCUUAAUAAAUGUUGUUGUUGACUUGGUUUUAAUGUGUUGCGUUAUUGUUUUUAAAUAGUUUCCAUUUUUUUAGGAUUUUUUGUUUUUGUUUUUAAAUAAUUUCCAGUUUUUUAGGAUUUUUUUGUUUUUUAUAUACACAACACACAAACAAACAAACAAACAAACAAACAAUACAUGAUCACACAGGAACUAUGUACAUACAUUGUGCGCGUCGACGACGUUUCGACCCUACUUGGGUCUUCAUCAGGUCAUGCGCACAAAAAAGAAUGGCUGCUGGGCCCCAAUUCAUAGGGGUGUGUACCCAGCAGGCAGCCAAAUAAAAAUGAAGUUAUCCCUGUUCCCCUCUCCCUUUUAUACCCUUGGAGAAAUAAUUUACUGAAUUUUCUUAAAUAAUUUGUGUUAUUUUGUACUCUAUUUAGUUUCUGAAUGUUAACCCUUUAGACGCUGAUUGUUUUUUAAUGCAUGAUAUAUUUAUCUUAUGUUAACCCUUUAGACGCUGAUUGUUUUUUAAUACAUGAUAUAUUUAUCUUAAUGCUGAGGUUAGGCUUCAAGUGACCCCCUAGGGUUAGGGUUAGGGUCAGUAUUAGGGUCAGGGCUAGUAUCCGAGGUUAGGGUUAGAUCCUGAGGUUAGGCUUCAAGUGACCCCUAGGGUUAGGGUUAGGGUCAGUAUUAGGGUCAGGGCUAGUAUCCGAGGUUAGGGUUAGAUCCUGAGGUUAGGCUUCAAGUGACCCCUAGGGUUAGGGUUAGGGUCAGUAUUACGGUUAGGGUUAGUAUCCAAGGUAGGGUUAGGGUUAGGGUUAGGGCCACGAUUGGGGUUAUGGCAAGCGCUAAGGUUAGGGUUAGGGUUAGCGCGAUGGUUAGGGCUAGGGUUAAGUGCCAGGUUAGGGCUUACGGCAUCAGCCGCCCGGACUGCGGGUCGGCUGGAUCUCUAAUAUGUGCAGAUUUUGCAGGUUGGGGACCGAGGAAACGCACCAACGAUGGACGAGGCACUGGCGGGUAAGGUUUUUGGGUAAGUAUCCCGUCUCCCCUAAGUUGCCCUACUUGGGCGGCGGGGAGCGGGGAAUGCACGGUCCUUCGCCCACCGGACACGCUCCCCCGGUCCCACAGGAAACACGACUUGUGCUUAAUAAAUGUUGUUGUUGACUUGGUUUUAAUGUGUUGCGUUAUUGUUUUUAAAUAGUUUCCAUUUUUUUAGGAUUUUUUGUUUUUGUUUUUAAAUAAUUUCCAGUUUUUUAGGAUUUUUUUGUUUUUUAUAUACACAACACACAAACAAACAAACAAACAAACAAACAAUACAUGAUCACACAGGAACUAUGUACAUACAUUGUGCGCGUCGACGACGUUUCGACCCUACUUGGGUCUUCAUCAGGUCAUGCGCACAAAAAGAAUGGCUGCUGGGCCCCAAUUCAUAGGGGUGUGUACCCAGCAGGCAGCCAAAUAAAAAUGAAGUUAUCCCUGUUCCCCUCUCCCUUUUAUACCCUUGGAGAAAUAAUUUACUGAAUUUUCUUAAAUAAUUUGUGUUAUUUUGUACUCUAUUUAGUUUCUGAAUGUUAACCCUUUAGACGCUGAUUGUUUUUUAAUGCAUGAUAUAUUUAUCUUAUGUUAACCCUUUAGACGCUGAUUGUUUUUUAAUACAUGAUAUAUUUAUCUUAAUGCUGAGGUUAGGCUUCAAGUGACCCCCUAGGGUUAGGGUUAGGGUCAGUAUUAGGGUCAGGGCUAGUAUCCGAGGUUAGGGUUAGAUCCUGAGGUUAGGCUUCAAGUGACCCCUAGGGUUAGGGUUAGGGUCAGUAUUAGGGUCAGGGCUAGUAUCCGAGGUUAGGGUUAGAUCCUGAGGUUAGGCUUCAAGUGACCCCUAGGGUUAGGGUUAGGGUCAGUAUUACGGUUAGGGUUAGUAUCCAAGGUAGGGUUAGGGUUAGGGUUAGGGCCACGAUUGGGGUUAUGGCAAGCGCUAAGGUUAGGGUUAGGGUUAGCGCGAUGGUUAGGGCUAGGGUUAAGUGCCAGGUUAGGGCUUACGGCAUCAGCCGCCCGGACUGCGGGUCGGCUGGAUCUCUAAUAUGUGCAGAUUUUGCAGGUUGGGGACCGAGGAAACGCACCAACGAUGGACGAGGCACUGGCGGGUAAGGUUUUUGGGUAAGUAUCCCGUCUCCCCUAAGUUGCCCUACUUGGGCGGCGGGGAGCGGGGAAUGCACGGUCCUUCGCCCACCGGACACGCUCCCCCGGUCCCACAGGAAACACGACUUGUGCUUAAUAAAUGUUGUUGUUGACUUGGUUUUAAUGUGUUGCGUUAUUGUUUUUAAAUAGUUUCCAUUUUUUUAGGAUUUUUUGUUUUUGUUUUUAAAUAAUUUCCAGUUUUUUAGGAUUUUUUUGUUUUUUAUAUACACAACACACAAACAAACAAACAAACAAACAAACAAUACAUGAUCACACAGGAACUAUGUACAUACAUUGUGCGCGUCGACGACGUUUCGACCCUACUUGGGUCUUCAUCAGGUCAUGCGCACAAAAAAGAAUGGCUGCUGGGCCCCAAUUCAUAGGGGUGUGUACCCAGCAGGCAGCCAAAUAAAAAUGAAGUUAUCCCUGUUCCCCUCUCCCUUUUAUACCCUUGGAGAAAUAAUUUACUGAAUUUUCUUAAAUAAUUUGUGUUAUUUUGUACUCUAUUUAGUUUCUGAAUGUUAACCCUUUAGACGCUGAUUGUUUUUUAAUGCAUGAUAUAUUUAUCUUAUGUUAACCCUUUAGACGCUGAUUGUUUUUUAAUACAUGAUAUAUUUAUCUUAAUGCUGAGGUUAGGCUUCAAGUGACCCCCUAGGGUUAGGGUUAGGGUCAGUAUUAGGGUCAGGGCUAGUAUCCGAGGUUAGGGUUAGAUCCUGAGGUUAGGCUUCAAGUGACCCCUAGGGUUAGGGUUAGGGUCAGUAUUAGGGUCAGGGCUAGUAUCCGAGGUUAGGGUUAGAUCCUGAGGUUAGGCUUCAAGUGACCCCUAGGGUUAGGGUUAGGGUCAGUAUUACGGUUAGGGUUAGUAUCCAAGGUAGGGUUAGGGUUAGGGUUAGGGCCACGAUUGGGGUUAUGGCAAGCGCUAAGGUUAGGGUUAGGGUUAGCGCGAUGGUUAGGGCUAGGGUUAAGUGCCAGGUUAGGGCUUACGGCAUCAGCCGCCCGGACUGCGGGUCGGCUGGAUCUCUAAUAUGUGCAGAUUUUGCAGGUUGGGGACCGAGGAAACGCACCAACGAUGGACGAGGCACUGGCGGGUAAGGUUUUUGGGUAAGUAUCCCGUCUCCCCUAAGUUGCCCUACUUGGGCGGCGGGGAGCGGGGAAUGCACGGUCCUUCGCCCACCGGACACGCUCCCCCGGUCCCACAGGAAACACGACUUGUGCUUAAUAAAUGUUGUUGUUGACUUGGUUUUAAUGUGUUGCGUUAUUGUUUUUAAAUAGUUUCCAUUUUUUUAGGAUUUUUUGUUUUUGUUUUUAAAUAAUUUCCAGUUUUUUAGGAUUUUUUUGUUUUUUAUAUACACAACACACAAACAAACAAACAAACAAACAAACAAUACAUGAUCACACAGGAACUAUGUACAUACAUUGUGCGCGUCGACGACGUUUCGACCCUACUUGGGUCUUCAUCAGGUCAUGCGCACAAAAAGAAUGGCUGCUGGGCCCCAAUUCAUAGGGGUGUGUACCCAGCAGGCAGCCAAAUAAAAAUGAAGUUAUCCCUGUUCCCCUCUCCCUUUUAUACCCUUGGAGAAAUAAUUUACUGAAUUUUCUUAAAUAAUUUGUGUUAUUUUGUACUCUAUUUAGUUUCUGAAUGUUAACCCUUUAGACGCUGAUUGUUUUUUAAUGCAUGAUAUAUUUAUCUUAUGUUAACCCUUUAGACGCUGAUUGUUUUUUAAUACAUGAUAUAUUUAUCUUAAUGCUGAGGUUAGGCUUCAAGUGACCCCCUAGGGUUAGGGUUAGGGUCAGUAUUAGGGUCAGGGCUAGUAUCCGAGGUUAGGGUUAGAUCCUGAGGUUAGGCUUCAAGUGACCCCUAGGGUUAGGGUUAGGGUCAGUAUUAGGGUCAGGGCUAGUAUCCGAGGUUAGGGUUAGAUCCUGAGGUUAGGCUUCAAGUGACCCCUAGGGUUAGGGUUAGGGUCAGUAUUACGGUUAGGGUUAGUAUCCAAGGUAGGGUUAGGGUUAGGGUUAGGGCCACGAUUGGGGUUAUGGCAAGCGCUAAGGUUAGGGUUAGGGUUAGCGCGAUGGUUAGGGCUAGGGUUAAGUGCCAGGUUAGGGCUUACGGCAUCAGCCGCCCGGACUGCGGGUCGGCUGGAUCUCUAAUAUGUGCAGAUUUUGCAGGUUGGGGACCGAGGAAACGCACCAACGAUGGACGAGGCACUGGCGGGUAAGGUUUUUGGGUAAGUAUCCCGUCUCCCCUAAGUUGCCCUACUUGGGCGGCGGGGAGCGGGGAAUGCACGGUCCUUCGCCCACCGGACACGCUCCCCCGGUCCCACAGGAAACACGACUUGUGCUUAAUAAAUGUUGUUGUUGACUUGGUUUUAAUGUGUUGCGUUAUUGUUUUUAAAUAGUUUCCAUUUUUUUAGGAUUUUUUGUUUUUGUUUUUAAAUAAUUUCCAGUUUUUUAGGAUUUUUUUGUUUUUUAUAUACACAACACACAAACAAACAAACAAACAAACAAACAAUACAUGAUCACACAGGAACUAUGUACAUACAUUGUGCGCGUCGACGACGUUUCGACCCUACUUGGGUCUUCAUCAGGUCAUGCGCACAAAAAGAAUGGCUGCUGGGCCCCAAUUCAUAGGGGUGUGUACCCAGCAGGCAGCCAAAUAAAAAUGAAGUUAUCCCUGUUCCCCUCUCCCUUUUAUACCCUUGGAGAAAUAAUUUACUGAAUUUUCUUAAAUAAUUUGUGUUAUUUUGUACUCUAUUUAGUUUCUGAAUGUUAACCCUUUAGACGCUGAUUGUUUUUUAAUGCAUGAUAUAUUUAUCUUAUGUUAACCCUUUAGACGCUGAUUGUUUUUUAAUACAUGAUAUAUUUAUCUUAAUGCUGAGGUUAGGCUUCAAGUGACCCCCUAGGGUUAGGGUUAGGGUCAGUAUUAGGGUCAGGGCUAGUAUCCGAGGUUAGGGUUAGAUCCUGAGGUUAGGCUUCAAGUGACCCCUAGGGUUAGGGUUAGGGUCAGUAUUAGGGUCAGGGCUAGUAUCCGAGGUUAGGGUUAGAUCCUGAGGUUAGGCUUCAAGUGACCCCUAGGGUUAGGGUUAGGGUCAGUAUUACGGUUAGGGUUAGUAUCCAAGGUAGGGUUAGGGUUAGGGUUAGGGCCACGAUUGGGGUUAUGGCAAGCGCUAAGGUUAGGGUUAGGGUUAGCGCGAUGGUUAGGGCUAGGGUUAAGUGCCAGGUUAGGGCUUACGGCAUCAGCCGCCCGGACUGCGGGUCGGCUGGAUCUCUAAUAUGUGCAGAUUUUGCAGGUUGGGGACCGAGGAAACGCACCAACGAUGGACGAGGCACUGGCGGGUAAGGUUUUUGGGUAAGUAUCCCGUCUCCCCUAAGUUGCCCUACUUGGGCGGCGGGGAGCGGGGAAUGCACGGUCCUUCGCCCACCGGACACGCUCCCCCGGUCCCACAGGAAACACGACUUGUGCUUAAUAAAUGUUGUUGUUGACUUGGUUUUAAUGUGUUGCGUUAUUGUUUUUAAAUAGUUUCCAUUUUUUUAGGAUUUUUUGUUUUUGUUUUUAAAUAAUUUCCAGUUUUUUAGGAUUUUUUUGUUUUUUAUAUACACAACACACAAACAAACAAACAAACAAACAAACAAUACAUGAUCACACAGGAACUAUGUACAUACAUUGUGCGCGUCGACGACGUUUCGACCCUACUUGGGUCUUCAUCAGGUCAUGCGCACAAAAAAGAAUGGCUGCUGGGCCCCAAUUCAUAGGGGUGUGUACCCAGCAGGCAGCCAAAUAAAAAUGAAGUUAUCCCUGUUCCCCUCUCCCUUUUAUACCCUUGGAGAAAUAAUUUACUGAAUUUUCUUAAAUAAUUUGUGUUAUUUUGUACUCUAUUUAGUUUCUGAAUGUUAACCCUUUAGACGCUGAUUGUUUUUUAAUGCAUGAUAUAUUUAUCUUAUGUUAACCCUUUAGACGCUGAUUGUUUUUUAAUACAUGAUAUAUUUAUCUUAAUGCUGAGGUUAGGCUUCAAGUGACCCCCUAGGGUUAGGGUUAGGGUCAGUAUUAGGGUCAGGGCUAGUAUCCGAGGUUAGGGUUAGAUCCUGAGGUUAGGCUUCAAGUGACCCCUAGGGUUAGGGUUAGGGUCAGUAUUAGGGUCAGGGCUAGUAUCCGAGGUUAGGGUUAGAUCCUGAGGUUAGGCUUCAAGUGACCCCUAGGGUUAGGGUUAGGGUCAGUAUUACGGUUAGGGUUAGUAUCCAAGGUAGGGUUAGGGUUAGGGUUAGGGCCACGAUUGGGGUUAUGGCAAGCGCUAAGGUUAGGGUUAGGGUUAGCGCGAUGGUUAGGGCUAGGGUUAAGUGCCAGGUUAGGGCUUACGGCAUCAGCCGCCCGGACUGCGGGUCGGCUGGAUCUCUAAUAUGUGCAGAUUUUGCAGGUUGGGGACCGAGGAAACGCACCAACGAUGGACGAGGCACUGGCGGGUAAGGUUUUUGGGUAAGUAUCCCGUCUCCCCUAAGUUGCCCUACUUGGGCGGCGGGGAGCGGGGAAUGCACGGUCCUUCGCCCACCGGACACGCUCCCCCGGUCCCACAGGAAACACGACUUGUGCUUAAUAAAUGUUGUUGUUGACUUGGUUUUAAUGUGUUGCGUUAUUGUUUUUAAAUAGUUUCCAUUUUUUUAGGAUUUUUUGUUUUUGUUUUUAAAUAAUUUCCAGUUUUUUAGGAUUUUUUUGUUUUUUAUAUACACAACACACAAACAAACAAACAAACAAACAAACAAUACAUGAUCACACAGGAACUAUGUACAUACAUUGUGCGCGUCGACGACGUUUCGACCCUACUUGGGUCUUCAUCAGGUCAUGCGCACAAAAAAGAAUGGCUGCUGGGCCCCAAUUCAUAGGGGUGUGUACCCAGCAGGCAGCCAAAUAAAAAUGAAGUUAUCCCUGUUCCCCUCUCCCUUUUAUACCCUUGGAGAAAUAAUUUACUGAAUUUUCUUAAAUAAUUUGUGUUAUUUUGUACUCUAUUUAGUUUCUGAAUGUUAACCCUUUAGACGCUGAUUGUUUUUUAAUGCAUGAUAUAUUUAUCUUAUGUUAACCCUUUAGACGCUGAUUGUUUUUUAAUACAUGAUAUAUUUAUCUUAAUGCUGAGGUUAGGCUUCAAGUGACCCCCUAGGGUUAGGGUUAGGGUCAGUAUUAGGGUCAGGGCUAGUAUCCGAGGUUAGGGUUAGAUCCUGAGGUUAGGCUUCAAGUGACCCCUAGGGUUAGGGUUAGGGUCAGUAUUAGGGUCAGGGCUAGUAUCCGAGGUUAGGGUUAGAUCCUGAGGUUAGGCUUCAAGUGACCCCUAGGGUUAGGGUUAGGGUCAGUAUUACGGUUAGGGUUAGUAUCCAAGGUAGGGUUAGGGUUAGGGUUAGGGCCACGAUUGGGGUUAUGGCAAGCGCUAAGGUUAGGGUUAGGGUUAGCGCGAUGGUUAGGGCUAGGGUUAAGUGCCAGGUUAGGGCUUACGGCAUCAGCCGCCCGGACUGCGGGUCGGCUGGAUCUCUAAUAUGUGCAGAUUUUGCAGGUUGGGGACCGAGGAAACGCACCAACGAUGGACGAGGCACUGGCGGGUAAGGUUUUUGGGUAAGUAUCCCGUCUCCCCUAAGUUGCCCUACUUGGGCGGCGGGGAGCGGGGAAUGCACGGUCCUUCGCCCACCGGACACGCUCCCCCGGUCCCACAGGAAACACGACUUGUGCUUAAUAAAUGUUGUUGUUGACUUGGUUUUAAUGUGUUGCGUUAUUGUUUUUAAAUAGUUUCCAUUUUUUUAGGAUUUUUUGUUUUUGUUUUUAAAUAAUUUCCAGUUUUUUAGGAUUUUUUUGUUUUUUAUAUACACAACACACAAACAAACAAACAAACAAACAAACAAUACAUGAUCACACAGGAACUAUGUACAUACAUUGUGCGCGUCGACGACGUUUCGACCCUACUUGGGUCUUCAUCAGGUCAUGCGCACAAAAAGAAUGGCUGCUGGGCCCCAAUUCAUAGGGGUGUGUACCCAGCAGGCAGCCAAAUAAAAAUGAAGUUAUCCCUGUUCCCCUCUCCCUUUUAUACCCUUGGAGAAAUAAUUUACUGAAUUUUCUUAAAUAAUUUGUGUUAUUUUGUACUCUAUUUAGUUUCUGAAUGUUAACCCUUUAGACGCUGAUUGUUUUUUAAUGCAUGAUAUAUUUAUCUUAUGUUAACCCUUUAGACGCUGAUUGUUUUUUAAUACAUGAUAUAUUUAUCUUAAUGCUGAGGUUAGGCUUCAAGUGACCCCCUAGGGUUAGGGUUAGGGUCAGUAUUAGGGUCAGGGCUAGUAUCCGAGGUUAGGGUUAGAUCCUGAGGUUAGGCUUCAAGUGACCCCUAGGGUUAGGGUUAGGGUCAGUAUUAGGGUCAGGGCUAGUAUCCGAGGUUAGGGUUAGAUCCUGAGGUUAGGCUUCAAGUGACCCCUAGGGUUAGGGUUAGGGUCAGUAUUACGGUUAGGGUUAGUAUCCAAGGUAGGGUUAGGGUUAGGGUUAGGGCCACGAUUGGGGUUAUGGCAAGCGCUAAGGUUAGGGUUAGGGUUAGCGCGAUGGUUAGGGCUAGGGUUAAGUGCCAGGUUAGGGCUUACGGCAUCAGCCGCCCGGACUGCGGGUCGGCUGGAUCUCUAAUAUGUGCAGAUUUUGCAGGUUGGGGACCGAGGAAACGCACCAACGAUGGACGAGGCACUGGCGGGUAAGGUUUUUGGGUAAGUAUCCCGUCUCCCCUAAGUUGCCCUACUUGGGCGGCGGGGAGCGGGGAAUGCACGGUCCUUCGCCCACCGGACACGCUCCCCCGGUCCCACAGGAAACACGACUUGUGCUUAAUAAAUGUUGUUGUUGACUUGGUUUUAAUGUGUUGCGUUAUUGUUUUUAAAUAGUUUCCAUUUUUUUAGGAUUUUUUGUUUUUGUUUUUAAAUAAUUUCCAGUUUUUUAGGAUUUUUUUGUUUUUUAUAUACACAACACACAAACAAACAAACAAACAAACAAACAAUACAUGAUCACACAGGAACUAUGUACAUACAUUGUGCGCGUCGACGACGUUUCGACCCUACUUGGGUCUUCAUCAGGUCAUGCGCACAAAAAAGAAUGGCUGCUGGGCCCCAAUUCAUAGGGGUGUGUACCCAGCAGGCAGCCAAAUAAAAAUGAAGUUAUCCCUGUUCCCCUCUCCCUUUUAUACCCUUGGAGAAAUAAUUUACUGAAUUUUCUUAAAUAAUUUGUGUUAUUUUGUACUCUAUUUAGUUUCUGAAUGUUAACCCUUUAGACGCUGAUUGUUUUUUAAUGCAUGAUAUAUUUAUCUUAUGUUAACCCUUUAGACGCUGAUUGUUUUUUAAUACAUGAUAUAUUUAUCUUAAUGCUGAGGUUAGGCUUCAAGUGACCCCCUAGGGUUAGGGUUAGGGUCAGUAUUAGGGUCAGGGCUAGUAUCCGAGGUUAGGGUUAGAUCCUGAGGUUAGGCUUCAAGUGACCCCUAGGGUUAGGGUUAGGGUCAGUAUUAGGGUCAGGGCUAGUAUCCGAGGUUAGGGUUAGAUCCUGAGGUUAGGCUUCAAGUGACCCCUAGGGUUAGGGUUAGGGUCAGUAUUACGGUUAGGGUUAGUAUCCAAGGUAGGGUUAGGGUUAGGGUUAGGGCCACGAUUGGGGUUAUGGCAAGCGCUAAGGUUAGGGUUAGGGUUAGCGCGAUGGUUAGGGCUAGGGUUAAGUGCCAGGUUAGGGCUUACGGCAUCAGCCGCCCGGACUGCGGGUCGGCUGGAUCUCUAAUAUGUGCAGAUUUUGCAGGUUGGGGACCGAGGAAACGCACCAACGAUGGACGAGGCACUGGCGGGUAAGGUUUUUGGGUAAGUAUCCCGUCUCCCCUAAGUUGCCCUACUUGGGCGGCGGGGAGCGGGGAAUGCACGGUCCUUCGCCCACCGGACACGCUCCCCCGGUCCCACAGGAAACACGACUUGUGCUUAAUAAAUGUUGUUGUUGACUUGGUUUUAAUGUGUUGCGUUAUUGUUUUUAAAUAGUUUCCAUUUUUUUAGGAUUUUUUGUUUUUGUUUUUAAAUAAUUUCCAGUUUUUUAGGAUUUUUUGUUUUUUAUAUACACAACACACAAACAAACAAACAAACAAACAAACAAUACAUGAUCACACAGGAACUAUGUACAUACAUUGUGCGCGUCGACGACGUUUCGACCCUACUUGGGUCUUCAUCAGGUCAUGCGCACAAAAAAGAAUGGCUGCUGGGCCCCAAUUCAUAGGGGUGUGUACCCAGCAGGCAGCCAAAUAAAAAUGAAGUUAUCCCUGUUCCCCUCUCCCUUUUAUACCCUUGGAGAAAUAAUUUACUGAAUUUUCUUAAAUAAUUUGUGUUAUUUUGUACUCUAUUUAGUUUCUGAAUGUUAACCCUUUAGACGCUGAUUGUUUUUUAAUGCAUGAUAUAUUUAUCUUAUGUUAACCCUUUAGACGCUGAUUGUUUUUUAAUACAUGAUAUAUUUAUCUUAAUGCUGAGGUUAGGCUUCAAGUGACCCCCUAGGGUUAGGGUUAGGGUCAGUAUUAGGGUCAGGGCUAGUAUCCGAGGUUAGGGUUAGAUCCUGAGGUUAGGCUUCAAGUGACCCCUAGGGUUAGGGUUAGGGUCAGUAUUAGGGUCAGGGCUAGUAUCCGAGGUUAGGGUUAGAUCCUGAGGUUAGGCUUCAAGUGACCCCUAGGGUUAGGGUUAGGGUCAGUAUUACGGUUAGGGUUAGUAUCCAAGGUAGGGUUAGGGUUAGGGUUAGGGCCACGAUUGGGGUUAUGGCAAGCGCUAAGGUUAGGGUUAGGGUUAGCGCGAUGGUUAGGGCUAGGGUUAAGUGCCAGGUUAGGGCUUACGGCAUCAGCCGCCCGGACUGCGGGUCGGCUGGAUCUCUAAUAUGUGCAGAUUUUGCAGGUUGGGGACCGAGGAAACGCACCAACGAUGGACGAGGCACUGGCGGGUAAGGUUUUUGGGUAAGUAUCCCGUCUCCCCUAAGUUGCCCUACUUGGGCGGCGGGGGAGCGGGGAAUGCACGGUCCUUCGCCCACCGGACACGCUCCCCCGGUCCCACAGGAAACACGACUUGUGCUUAAUAAAUGUUGUUGUUGACUUGGUUUUAAUGUGUUGCGUUAUUGUUUUUAAAUAGUUUCCAUUUUUUUAGGAUUUUUUGUUUUUGUUUUUAAAUAAUUUCCAGUUUUUUAGGAUUUUUUUGUUUUUUAUAUACACAACACACAAACAAACAAACAAACAAACAAACAAUACAUGAUCACACAGGAACUAUGUACAUACAUUGUGCGCGUCGACGACGUUUCGACCCUACUUGGGUCUUCAUCAGGUCAUGCGCACAAAAAGAAUGGCUGCUGGGCCCCAAUUCAUAGGGGUGUGUACCCAGCAGGCAGCCAAAUAAAAAUGAAGUUAUCCCUGUUCCCCUCUCCCUUUUAUACCCUUGGAGAAAUAAUUUACUGAAUUUUCUUAAAUAAUUUGUGUUAUUUUGUACUCUAUUUAGUUUCUGAAUGUUAACCCUUUAGACGCUGAUUGUUUUUUAAUGCAUGAUAUAUUUAUCUUAUGUUAACCCUUUAGACGCUGAUUGUUUUUUAAUACAUGAUAUAUUUAUCUUAAUGCUGAGGUUAGGCUUCAAGUGACCCCCUAGGGUUAGGGUUAGGGUCAGUAUUAGGGUCAGGGCUAGUAUCCGAGGUUAGGGUUAGAUCCUGAGGUUAGGCUUCAAGUGACCCCUAGGGUUAGGGUUAGGGUCAGUAUUAGGGUCAGGGCUAGUAUCCGAGGUUAGGGUUAGAUCCUGAGGUUAGGCUUCAAGUGACCCCUAGGGUUAGGGUUAGGGUCAGUAUUACGGUUAGGGUUAGUAUCCAAGGUAGGGUUAGGGUUAGGGUUAGGGCCACGAUUGGGGUUAUGGCAAGCGCUAAGGUUAGGGUUAGGGUUAGCGCGAUGGUUAGGGCUAGGGUUAAGUGCCAGGUUAGGGCUUACGGCAUCAGCCGCCCGGACUGCGGGUCGGCUGGAUCUCUAAUAUGUGCAGAUUUUGCAGGUUGGGGACCGAGGAAACGCACCAACGAUGGACGAGGCACUGGCGGGUAAGGUUUUUGGGUAAGUAUCCCGUCUCCCCUAAGUUGCCCUACUUGGGCGGCGGGGAGCGGGGAAUGCACGGUCCUUCGCCCACCGGACACGCUCCCCCGGUCCCACAGGAAACACGACUUGUGCUUAAUAAAUGUUGUUGUUGACUUGGUUUUAAUGUGUUGCGUUAUUGUUUUUAAAUAGUUUCCAUUUUUUUAGGAUUUUUUGUUUUUGUUUUUAAAUAAUUUCCAGUUUUUUAGGAUUUUUUUGUUUUUUAUAUACACAACACACAAACAAACAAACAAACAAACAAACAAUACAUGAUCACACAGGAACUAUGUACAUACAUUGUGCGCGUCGACGACGUUUCGACCCUACUUGGGUCUUCAUCAGGUCAUGCGCACAAAAAAGAAUGGCUGCUGGGCCCCAAUUCAUAGGGGUGUGUACCCAGCAGGCAGCCAAAUAAAAAUGAAGUUAUCCCUGUUCCCCUCUCCCUUUUAUACCCUUGGAGAAAUAAUUUACUGAAUUUUCUUAAAUAAUUUGUGUUAUUUUGUACUCUAUUUAGUUUCUGAAUGUUAACCCUUUAGACGCUGAUUGUUUUUUAAUGCAUGAUAUAUUUAUCUUAUGUUAACCCUUUAGACGCUGAUUGUUUUUUAAUACAUGAUAUAUUUAUCUUAAUGCUGAGGUUAGGCUUCAAGUGACCCCCUAGGGUUAGGGUUAGGGUCAGUAUUAGGGUCAGGGCUAGUAUCCGAGGUUAGGGUUAGAUCCUGAGGUUAGGCUUCAAGUGACCCCUAGGGUUAGGGUUAGGGUCAGUAUUAGGGUCAGGGCUAGUAUCCGAGGUUAGGGUUAGAUCCUGAGGUUAGGCUUCAAGUGACCCCUAGGGUUAGGGUUAGGGUCAGUAUUACGGUUAGGGUUAGUAUCCAAGGUAGGGUUAGGGUUAGGGUUAGGGCCACGAUUGGGGUUAUGGCAAGCGCUAAGGUUAGGGUUAGGGUUAGCGCGAUGGUUAGGGCUAGGGUUAAGUGCCAGGUUAGGGCUUACGGCAUCAGCCGCCCGGACUGCGGGUCGGCUGGAUCUCUAAUAUGUGCAGAUUUUGCAGGUUGGGGACCGAGGAAACGCACCAACGAUGGACGAGGCACUGGCGGGUAAGGUUUUUGGGUAAGUAUCCCGUCUCCCCUAAGUUGCCCUACUUGGGCGGCGGGGAGCGGGGAAUGCACGGUCCUUCGCCCACCGGACACGCUCCCCCGGUCCCACAGGAAACACGACUUGUGCUUAAUAAAUGUUGUUGUUGACUUGGUUUUAAUGUGUUGCGUUAUUGUUUUUAAAUAGUUUCCAUUUUUUUAGGAUUUUUUGUUUUUGUUUUUAAAUAAUUUCCAGUUUUUUAGGAUUUUUUUGUUUUUUAUAUACACAACACACAAACAAACAAACAAACAAACAAACAAUACAUGAUCACACAGGAACUAUGUACAUACAUUGUGCGCGUCGACGACGUUUCGACCCUACUUGGGUCUUCAUCAGGUCAUGCGCACAAAAAAGAAUGGCUGCUGGGCCCCAAUUCAUAGGGGUGUGUACCCAGCAGGCAGCCAAAUAAAAAUGAAGUUAUCCCUGUUCCCCUCUCCCUUUUAUACCCUUGGAGAAAUAAUUUACUGAAUUUUCUUAAAUAAUUUGUGUUAUUUUGUACUCUAUUUAGUUUCUGAAUGUUAACCCUUUAGACGCUGAUUGUUUUUUAAUGCAUGAUAUAUUUAUCUUAUGUUAACCCUUUAGACGCUGAUUGUUUUUUAAUACAUGAUAUAUUUAUCUUAAUGCUGAGGUUAGGCUUCAAGUGACCCCCUAGGGUUAGGGUUAGGGUCAGUAUUAGGGUCAGGGCUAGUAUCCGAGGUUAGGGUUAGAUCCUGAGGUUAGGCUUCAAGUGACCCCUAGGGUUAGGGUUAGGGUCAGUAUUAGGGUCAGGGCUAGUAUCCGAGGUUAGGGUUAGAUCCUGAGGUUAGGCUUCAAGUGACCCCUAGGGUUAGGGUUAGGGUCAGUAUUACGGUUAGGGUUAGUAUCCAAGGUAGGGUUAGGGUUAGGGUUAGGGCCACGAUUGGGGUUAUGGCAAGCGCUAAGGUUAGGGUUAGGGUUAGCGCGAUGGUUAGGGCUAGGGUUAAGUGCCAGGUUAGGGCUUACGGCAUCAGCCGCCCGGACUGCGGGUCGGCUGGAU
rnacentral:lncRNA from 1 species